GGCUUGGUGGUGUAGCGGUAACAUGUCCUUUUCAGUUGGAUGCUUGACAGAGGUUUGAGAGGAAGUCCUUCGCUCGAAUCGGAGUCAGGCCA